rnacentral:tRNA from 1 species
GGUCCGUUGGUCAAGGGGUUACGACACCGCCUUUUCACGGUGGUAACACGGGUUCGAAUCCCGUACGGACUA